rnacentral:rRNA from 1 species
AUUGAACGCUGGCGGCAGGCCUAACACAUGCAAGUCGAACGAGUGGCGGACGGGUGAGUAAUGUCUGGGAAACUGCCCGAUGGAGGGGGAUAACUACUGGAAACGGUAGCUAAUACCGCAUACCAUCGGAUGUGCCCAGAUGGCAUUAGCUAGUAGGUGGGGGAACGGCUCACCUAGGCGACGAUCCCUAGUUGGUUUGAGAGGAUGACCAGCCAAACUGGAACGGAGACACGGUCAAGACUCCGACGGGAGGCAGCAGUGGGGAAUAGUUCACAAUGGGCGCAAGCCUGAUGUAGCCAUGCCGCGUGUAUGAAGAAGGCCUUCGGGUUGUAAAGUACUGUCAGCGGGGAGGCGUUACCCGCAGAAGAAGCACCGGCUAACUCCGUGCCAGCCGCCGCGGUAAUUC